CUGCUGUCACACGUGCAGCUGCUGGGAAUGCUCACGUCCAGGUCUGGGGUGAGCAGAAGUCUUCACUUCCGCGGGACAAAGGCCCAGGAGGGUCGGGACUGUUGAGGCAUGCGGCAAAUACGCUGGAGCAAAAGUGGUGCCCAAUGCUCAGCUAACCUUCCCGGACUUCGGUUUUCUACAGUCUUGACUCGAGCAGCGGGUGUAGUAACUAAUCUGGAGACAAGGAUGACAGGAAAGGACACACACGGACCUCUCCAACUGUAAGGGGACAUCGGGUCCUCCGCGAUCCCUAUUGGUGACACAGCUGCAGAUGCUGCUAUUAUUACUAGGAUUUGUGGACUCUGUUGUAAAGGAAAGGAUGAGUUUCAGUUAGAAGCUGGU